ACGCUCGACACCUACGGAGGCAGCAGUCGGGAAUAUUGCGCAAUGGAGGAAACUCUGACGCAGUGACGCCGCGUGCAGGAAGAAGGUUUUCGGAUUGUAAACUGCUUUAGACAGGGAAGAAAAAGGACAGUACCUGUAGAAUAAGCUCCGGCUAACUACGUGCCAGCAGCCACGGUAAUCUGAGCGGGCUGGCAAGGC
rnacentral:rRNA from 1 species